rnacentral:sRNA from 1 species
UGGCGUUCCGUGGUCUGCUCCCUAACCAUUGUGACGUUACCUAUACCGUUGCUUCGGCGGGCGGCCCCAGGGUUUACCCCCCGGGCGCCCCUGGGCCCCACCGCGGGCGCCCGCCGGAGGUCACCAAACUCUUGAUAGUUUAUGGCCUCUCUGAGUCUUCUGUACUGAAUAAGUCAAAACUUUCAACAACGGAUCUCUUGGUUCUGUCAUCGAUGAAGAACGCAGCGAAAUGCGAUAAGUAAUGUGAAUUGCAGAAUUCAGUGAAUCAUCGAAUCGUUGAACGCACAUUGCGCCCGCCAGCAUUCUGGCGGGCAUGCCUGUUCGAGCGUCAUUUCAACCAUCAACCCCCCGGGCUUGUGUUGGGGACCUGCGGCUGCCGCAGGCCCUGAAAAGCAGUGGCGGGCUCGCUGUCGGACCGAGCGUAGUAGCAUACAUCUCGCUCUGGUCGCGCCGCGGGUUCCGGCCGUUAAACCACCUUUUAAC